AUAACCUGAGCUGCGUCCGAAUUGCCAAGUAGUAGUCGAAGUAGUAGUCGAAGUAGUAUCUAGCAUGUCCGAAUUGGCCACCGGAGCGAGUAGCAUGCUACUUCAGAUACUACUUCAGAUGCUAGACACGCCCACAUUGUAGGUUGGUCUCGGUGCAUCCUACGGGCAUGCUACUGACCCAAAAUGCACCGCGGGCUUCUUCUUCGUCCUCUUAAAAGUUGUAGAAGCGCAUGUGAUGCUAGCGCCACCAGCUGCUCUGCCUAUUUAAAAGUGUCGCAACGCCGGCUGGCCACAGCAGCGCGCACCAUGUCGGAGCAGCAGCAGCAGGCGGGACCGCAGUAGUACAGAUGUAAGUUUCAUGUAACUUCACACACUGUCCUAAAAAAUGUGCGGUUGUAUCUCUUUGUCAUGUCAUGGUGUCAUAUUUGCCCAAGUAAUCAUUUUAUGAGCAAGUGGCGACAUCAUGGAGGUAAAGCUCACUUAUUCCAUCAUUAAACUGCACAGCUGCAGUACUACAGCCAGGCCCGCAGAUGAGGGGCUUCAGUUACCACUGUCUGCACAGGCGCAGUACCUACUCUCUGCCUGCGGGGGUCGUCUUUCCCCACCGCUCGUCUAGUGUGUCCGAAUUGGGCCAACGUUUUUAGUAUGUAGGAGUAGGAUCUAGCAGUAGCACGUAGCAGUAGCAUGUAGUAUCCGAGCGGGCAGUUCGGACGCAGCACUGGAGUUACGCGCGUGCACAACCACUAUAAAAAGCCAUCAUCAAUGGAGCCCCGAUACCACGAGUCACCAUGACAACAGAGCAAAAACGGUCAAUUUAUUUCACCCCGGUGGAGUUGGAGGUCCUUAUGCUUGCCUAAGGCGAGUAUGAGAACAUUUUUCGCCGCAAAUCCAACACGGCUGCAGCAGCGAAGGAGAGAGAGACGGCAUGGGAGAAAAUUGCUGCGCGAGUCAAUGCGUAAGUUUGAAUGUACUACUCCAUUGACGUAACAUAUAAGAUCGAAGCACAGUCUAUAGUUAUGAAUAUAAGUAGGAAUGAAAUCUGAUUUUCAUUUAGGUGCAAUCCAACGGGAGAAAAAAGGACUUGGAAGCAGCUCAAAAUGAAACAUAAAAAGAUAAUUCAAAAAGGUAAGGCAUAUUUUGCUAGGCUGUGAUUGCACCUCACUUUGAUUUUAAUUUAAUUUUUUAAAAUGGACUUAGGCUAUUAGACAGAGUCAAUAUUAAUUUAAACUAAAAUAUUAAUUCAGCGGCUACUUCAAAUAAUAAUUUAAACCCCAAACAAAAUGUAGUUUUUCAACGUCCUCUCACUUAAUUCUACACUUCGUGGAUUAACACUUGAUACAAACACAUUUAUAUUUUAGACCUAUUGAAGUCAUUUAAAAUGUGACGCUGUAGCCUACACCAACACUGAUUAAAAUACUAUUUUAAAAUAAACAUUGACUUCUGCUCAGCCAACAGAAAGAAGGCAGAGGCCCGGAAAACGGGUGGAGGGCCACCUUUACUACCUCUGACGGAGGCUGAGGAGCUGGCCCCCAGCCAAAACAGGGGUCGCCCUGUGGCUGAAGGCAUCCCCGGGGGAAGCUCAUCUGAGCCUGUCACCCCCCAGGACACAAGUCCCUACAUCAGAUGCAAGUAUACACUUAUGUCUUUAAAAAAAAUAAAACUAAUAUAUAAAUAUAUAUAGCCAACUUUUUAACAAAUAUAUAUCCACCCACCCAACAGUUGUGGAUGGUGUCAUCUGCCUGCUUCAGCCUCCGACAGAAACAAACCCUGUAGCUGUAAGUCUUACAUACUCAGAUGCCUCAGAUGGUUGUUCAAAGUAUUCUGAAACAGUAUAUUUUCCUGCAUUACAGGAGGAGGAAGAGGAGGAGGAUGAGGAUGAGGAAACACUGUCUGCUGCCACAGGGAGAGAUCCAGAGGGGCUUCCUGAAGUGUGUCUUAAUAUAUAGCUACUGGCAGUGCCCAUUCAUUUACAUUCUAAAGGGGAAUUUGGAGUUUGACAUGUACACUGAAUAGACGAGCAUAAAUAAUGGACAAACUAGCUCAUUCUUGUCAUUCAACAGAACAUGGCUGGGCAUCACCAGGAGGAGGGUCCAUCAACCUCAACGGCACAGCUUGUCAAAGUGAGAUUUUCGGUCAAUACCAUGUUAAAUCUGUAUGUAGAACUAAAUGAAUUAAAUGUCGUUCAUGUUUCCCAGCUCCCGCCCGGUUAAGGAGUUAUACAGGGUGCACCUCAUGACAAGUAUAAAAAAAAAAAGAAAUGGUCUAUCUGGAUCGGCAGAUUGCUAAAACAGACCUGGAAAUUCUAUUACUGGAACGCCAGUUGAGGUGGGUGCAUUGUCAUGGUGAAUAUGUGAAAUAUGUUAAUGGUUGGAACUACAUUACAAAUCCUGACUGUUGCUUUUGUACUCUUAAGGAAUAAAGAAGAACCAAAUCACAUAUGCAUUUUUUUUUUAAAUCAUGUGAUGUGAGUGCUCGUCCGCGGUGUGUGAGAUUGGUGAUAUACAUCCGGAGAGGGUUAUUUAGAUAAAUUAUACUGUUCAAAGAAAAGCGGUAGCGUUCGAAAAG
rnacentral:lncRNA from 1 species